rfam:Chaetomium thermophilum var. thermophilum DSM 1495 unplaced genomic scaffold scf7180000011820, whole genome shotgun sequence.
GGUUCGAUGGUGUAGUUGGUUAUCACGUCAGUCUAACACACUGAAGGUCUCCAGUUCGAGCCUGGAUCGAAUCA